GUAGGUGUGGGGACAUCUGUAACAGACGUAGCAAGGUAGAGACGUAGACAUAAGGACACCUGUGUCACCACAUGCGAAGAAUUCUAAGUGAACCAAGAUGAAGAAGGAAAGUCACACAUAACUGGCACAGGCUCAGAGGUGAGGAGCUCCAAAUGAGAAAACUGGGAAGAAGGAAACAGAAAUGCAGCGCGUGACGGGAUGGCGGUUGGGUCCAUCCACCAAAUGCCAUGGUGCCCCUGUGCACCCAGCACUGCACCAAGUCCAAGGCCCUGACAGGCAGAUUGUUUACCGUUUGAUCCACCGGGGAAGCUGGUGUCAUUUUAAAUGCGAGUAAACAAAUAACUUGGCAGAAAAAGAGGAGAUUUCAGAAGAGGUGGCAAGAAUACACAGAAGAACUGUACAAAAAAG
ensembl:lncRNA